GUCUAGAUAGCUCAGUUGGUUAGAGCAAAGGACUGAAAAUCCUUGAGUCGGCAGUUCGAAUCUGUCUCUGGACA
rnacentral:tRNA from 1 species